GAUGAUGAGGAGUCAGUUUUUACAGUCUGACGUCUUUGAACUGAAAGCAGCUUCAGAUAAAAUUAGAUUUUAUUAUUUUUAUUAUUAUAAAGCAGUUCUGUCUUUUUAUUUCUCCGUCUGUUCGUUCAGAGUUCCGGUUUGACAGAUUGUUAUUCAGUCAGAACAUCAAAGAUCUGCUGGGAAGUUUUCAGCCUGUUGAUGGUGAAUCUGACUGGUUUCCUGAUGUUAACCACGCUGGGUCUCGUGGUUUCAGGUGUUGGUUUCAGGUGUGUUCUGAUUGACUGGGUGUCUUGUUGUGUGGUUCAGUGGGUGUGAUGGUGAAGGUCAGGUCAUGUUUCUGUGGUUCAGAACAAAUGAAAUCACUGAUCUGUGGUCAGGAUCCACAUCCAGAGCUGUCAUCAACCUCACUGAGAGGUUUCCAUCAGAAAAGACUGUUGAACUUUCCGUUGAACCUUUCUUUAAGUUCACUUCAGGGUUUCUGUCCAUCGUCUUUGAGACUAAUUAAUGAAAUAAAUUCUAUUUACUCUUAAAAUUCCUCCAACUUUUUCUAGAUUUUCUUUAAUGUUUCUGUAAACUUUCUUAAAGACGUAUCUAGAUGUUCUCCUCAGUUCUUUUAAAGUACUUUGAGAGUUCUUUUGAUGGUUUUGUUGAGAUCGGAGGUGUGAAGCGUCAGGAUGACCUGAAGUGACCUCUGGAGGAGAACUGAGAGGAAAAAUAGGAAGAAGCCGUCGGAGAGAGGAUGUGAUUCAGCGGGUGGAGGCUGAAGUUGUCAGAAACGGAGACAAAAUCCAACGUUACAUGUAGAAACAGUUUGUGGUUUUCAGGGGAAUUAUUCAGUAUGCAGGAACUAUUUCUCUGUAAACAACCAGUUAAUCCAGACGGGAUCUGAACGAGACAGAAUGUGUUGAACUCUCCCUUUAAACAGCUUGAUGUUACUGAUUUCUACACAUAUACAGAAAUAUAUUUAUUAAUAUAAAGAGCCAACAUUCACACAAAAACACACAGAUACACAACCACAAAGGGUUCAUUCAUCCCCUGAGACGAGACGAACCAACAGCAGCUAAACCGGCAGCGGUGAUGUGAACACAAAGACUUUAUAUAACAGAGAGAAGAAGAGAGAGAGGCCGUCUGCCUUGUUACUCCUCAGGUUAUAUUAUUACAUGAUUGUUAAUCCACUAAAUCAGACUCAACAUCUGCAGUACAUGUUUCUAUCCUCCUGUUUUUAUGCAUUUCUGUGACUUUCUUUUGGACAUUUUUCUGACAUAUUUCAGACUUUUUUUUCAGGUCUGCCUUAUUACUCCUCAGGUUUUAUUUUUACAUGAUAAAAAUAAACUGAUGUUGUUAAUCCACUAAAUCAGACUCAACAUCUGCAGUAUGUGUUUCCA